rnacentral:rRNA from 1 species
GACGAACGCUGGCGGCGUGCCUAAUACAUGCAAGUCGAACGCAGUGGGGCCGGGUGAGUAACACGUGGGUAACCUCCCAUCAGAGGGGAUAACACUUGGAAACAGGUGCUAAACCGAUAUUGGUGGAUGGACCCGCGGUGCAUUGGCUAGUUGGCGAGGUAACGGAUCACCAAGGCCACGAUGCAUAGCCGCACUGAGAGGGUGAUCGGUCAAACGGGGACAGAGACACGGCCCAGACGCCUACGGGAGGCAGCAGUAGGGAAUCUUCGGCAAUGGACGAAAGUCUGAACGAGCAACGCCGCGUGAGUGAAGAAGGUGUUCGGAGCGUAAAACUCUGUUGUUAGAGAAGCGGUAUCUAACCAGAAAGCCACGGCUAACUACGUGCCAGCAGCCGCGGUAAUAC